UCCUCAGCUAGGUGAAUCCUCCUUACAGAAGGCAGAUAAAAAAAAUGACUGGAGUUCACAUGACGUGUGAUCAACAUCUCUGUAUAGCCAGGACUCAGCAUCUUUCUUGUUCCUUUCU